rnacentral:rRNA from 1 species
AUGUGGCGUAUUGCCAAUGGGGAGGGAGGCCUCUGGCUCAUCCGUAAUAAGUACCUCCGUGGCCAACCUCUUGCCUUUUGCCAACGUACGGGUAGACCCUAGUUCUGGCAGUCCGUGAUCCAGCUUCUGCCCGUACUACGCAUCGGCACAUCCAUCUCGGUUGGCUCCGGGGCCUCGGCCUUGUUCUGGUUCGACCGCUGGCUUGGGGACUCCCCCCUGGCUGCGCGAUUCCCAGAACUAUUUGCCAUUGCGGCUGACCCUCGGGUCUCUGUCGAGACGGCCCUUAUUGACUUAGGGCGUCUCGCCUUCCGGCGCCCCUUUGGCCCCCUCGAGGUGGCCGCCUAGGACUCCCUCCUCCAAGACAUCGCACUUAUGCCGAUUGACGUCGAGGAGGACUGGGAUGUUCUUUCCUGGCGCCUCGAGCCCUCUGGCCGUUUCUCCACGAAGUCCCUGUACGGCGCCAUUGCUCCCUCGACGGCCCCGGAACCAUUUAGCCUGAUCUCGGACAUCCGACUUCCGCUGAAAAUCGGGAUCUUCCUGUGGCAAUGGAUCCGUGGACGCCUCCCCUCUGGGCUUGAAGUCCUCAAGCAUAAUGGCCCGGGUGAUGGGACGUGCCCCAUCUGUGGCACGAUUGAGGAUGCUAACCACAUCUUUUUCUCGUGCACUCGGCCCAGUUCCUUUGGGCCUGCUUCCGCGAAACGGUUGGCGGACAGUGGUGUAAUACCAACUUCCCCUACCUGCUUGCCGAGCUCAAUGCUUCCCCUACUCGCUACAGCCAUAUUAGAUGGUUGUGCGUUGGGGUUCUCGCCUGGACGCUUUGGAACAUUCGCAAUAAGCUUGUUAUUCAGAAGGUGCCUCUCCGACGUGCGACUGACGCAAUCUUCAAAUUGUGUGGCUACUUGCAGCUUUGGCGGCCGCUUAGCCGCCCCCAGGACCGGGACGUCAUCACCACCCUCCUCUCCGAUCUCCGCUCGAUGGCGCUCCGCGUGGCUCCCCCGCUGCCGCCUCCUCCUCCUGAGCCUGACUAGACCGCCUGGCGGCUGUAUGGCGUGUGUGUUUUGGGUUUAG